GGUUUUUUUUUUCUUGAAUUAAAGGUUUAAAGCUGGAGAAAAUAAAGAGGAUUUAUUGGAAAAUAGUUGUGUUCUUAUUGAUGAGGUCAUAAAAGACGGGAAAAGAAAAAGGCGAAACCCUGCCAUCCAACAUCUUCUUCCUCCUCCCUUGCAGCCGCUGAUCACCCCCCCUCCUUCGAUCUUCUUCGCCGGCGACCUCCACGAGCAGUCGACGACCAUAGAGACCUUCGAACUGUCGCUACGCACGCUACCCUCGCGUUAUCAACGACCCAUACAUUUGAGCUACGUUUCGGCAACUCUGCGAACCCACAUCCACGCCAACACCUGCUCUAUAGUCGACGAUGGUGUACAUUGACCCACGAAUCUAUCUUGUUCUAUAACCACGACUUCGUCUAGGUUUUCGCAACAUCAUUUCAGCUCCGUUUGAGACUCCAGCGUGAACCUCGACGAUUGGGUGUGUAUUGCAGCGUCUUUGGUUUGGGGGUAAGCUUUCGAUGAGUUUCGGCAUCGACACAUGCUUCGAUUGGCUUCAAAUCAAUUUUCCCAUAACGUUUUAGGUCCAAAUCUGCAAGUUCGGAUGCUGUCAAACACUAAUCAGCAAGGAUCGAAGGCUAUCUAGUAAGAUUCGAAUUUGUUUAAGGUUCAACGGCGACAACGACAUCGUGAUAUCCACGAACCAGCAGCGAAUUAAGGUCAGGUAAUAUUUGUAACUCUUGGGUAAUAUUUGUUUGUAGUUCAGGUUGGAUUCUGGGUGUUCGGAUUGAGGUUUAAGGUUGCUUUGGAGCCUUUAGAUCCUUUUGUAAGCAGUUUAAAAGCAUUUUAAAAGCGUUUAGGUAGGUAGAAUUCUACCUUUGGGUCUGUUUGUUUGUGUGUUAGUGUGAUCUAUUUCUAUUUCAAAUAUUUGAGAUCUAUGUUAUCUUGAUAUUUGUGAUGCUUUUUGAUAUGAUUAAAGCAUGUCUAGAUGCUCUUUGAAUGGAAUUGGAUAAUGUAUACUAUGUUGUGUUAUUAUGUGCUUCUGUGAACAUACCAUGCUCUUUGUAUGGAAUUGGAUAACGUUGGGUGCUAUAGGGGACAUCAUGGCCUUGAGUACCUUUAAGGAAUGAUGUACUGUUCAAGGCCUUAGGUUCGGCUAAGGGUUGAACGAUGAGAACCAUAAAGGAUGAUAGGAUCCUGACUACGGGUAGGGGUCAACAUGCCUCGAGGAUUUCAUUUAGAAAGUUGUGAGAGUAAGGUUGGGAUAUUGAGCGUGAUUGAGAGUUUAGUUUAAAAUUAUGUAUGCUUUGUAUAUAAUGAUAUAAUUCAUGUGUUUAGCAUGAUGUGAUUGAUAUUAUUGUUGUUGUGUAUCUUUGAAAUGUAUGUUGAUUGGUGGCCCUUCAGGCGUGGGCUAAUUACCAGUACAAGUGUGUACUGACCCUCCACUAGGUUUUGUAGGCGCCGAGGAGUAUUGCAACCUUGGUGAUGCUGAGGAGGAAGCUUGAGAAAGGCUGACUGUCUGACCAUUAGGCGUGUUUUGUUUUGUUCCUUUUUUCGUAGUUUAUUUUACUUACAAACUUUUAGAAGGUGACACUUUGUUUUAAGUUCAAGUCAUGGUGGCCGUCCUUGAGUUGGAAUUUUGUAAUAAGGUUUAGUCGGUUUAUUAUGAUAGCAUUUCACGCUAGUAUGAGUCUUUAGUAAAGUUUUGUUGAAUCUGAUUAAUGUAUUUGGAGUAUGAGUUUUCUCGAAACUUUGUAGUUCUUUGAGAGAAGUUUGUUGUUUGAUUGUUAGAAGUGCGUUUCUUUGAGCAGGUGUCAAAAACAAUUUUGGUUGUGGUGGUAGCGUCGUUAUGUUGCCGAACAUUUUCUAAAUAUAAGAGUUAGUAAACUUAGUUUCAUGUUCAAUUUUGGUAACAGUCCCUAGUUUAACAUUGAAAUUUGGGGUCGUUACAAUUGGUAUCAGAGCGGAGUUGUUCUUGUAGAUUGACCUAGAAUCCAGGUUGUUAAGUAGCUAAGUUCUUUGGUGUUGGUCUAUCUCUGUUUCCUUUCCGUCACCAGGUCCACAAACUUUUAUUUUGCUAUGACAAUUGAAUUGUUGAUUUGGUUGGUUGUAUGUCUAUGUUUGACUUCGACGUGUGCUUGCAAUUGUUUGUUAGUCGGCAUAGGAUGCUCCCUAGUUGACUAGAUAGUUUUCUCUUAUGCUUGCCUUGUGGUAGAAGUUUUAGGUUUUGCUUUAGAAUUAAGGUUAGAUCUUUUAUCCCUUGGUGGGGUUAGUGAGGUGGCUCCAAAUCCAAGCAAGUGAGACUGAACCUUAUAGAACCUAGAACUUUUCUUAGUAAAGUGUCAUGAAGCACUCAACCACUAGAAAAGAGUGACUUGGUAAAGAAAGAUGAAAUCAAGAGAUCUUAGAGCCAUUAGAUUACUUUGUGUGUUUGCCUCCUUGGUAAAAGGUUCAAGUUGAAAGUGACAUGGUUAAGGAAGGAUCAAGUAAAAGCAAGCGUUCAACAUUAUUAAACAACUUCUUUCGAGGACAAAAGUCUUUUAAGGUGGAAGUCUAUUUUUGGAUUAAAUUAUGCCGUCAAAUCUCUUUCAAUCCUUUAAUUUUAAAUUUGGAACUUUUUAAUCGUUGAUUCUUUGUGUAAGUUGUAAAGUUUACAAUGGUUAUUUUGUAUAAGUUGUAAUAGUUUACAAUGGUUAUUUUGUACAAGUUGUAAUAGUUUACAAUGGUUAUGUUUGUAAUAAGUGUAAAGCGUAGAAGUUGUAAAAUUUUGAUAGAUUGAAUUAGAUAUUGUUUGUAAUAAGUUGCGUCUACUAUUUUGUAUAAGUUGUAAAUAUUUACAAUGGUUAUGUUUCCACAUUUUUGUUAUAAAAAAUCCAGGCUAUUACAGUAUUACUCUAGGCUUCUUCAGUAAUGGCGAAACUGGAGCCCCUUGACGGAGUAGCCAAAGAUAACAAUGUCUCUGGAAAGAAGCAGAAGAGAAAUCAUGGGUCUACUUCCUUUUUCGUCUUCAUUGAUUACCUUUUCCUAUUCAUCUUUCUUGGGUUCCUCUGCUUCAUCCUUUUCAAGAUGUUCGGGGUCUGAGGCUCUCCAAAUACAGAGAUACAGAGACGACAAAGAGUUUCACAUUCCAUUUUGAAGAUUAGGUUUUAAUUUUCUCCAUUCCACUUUUGCUUUAUCGUGUCCAUUUAAUUCUGAUACAUGUAUUGGGGGUUUUUAAAUUGUCUGUGACUACUGAUGUUGAUCACAUUUGGGAUCUGGAGAUUUCAUUUUGAUUGAAAAUGAAGUCCGAAUAUCCAUCCUUCAAGAGUUAAUAUCCCAACCCAUGGAAGUUUUGUGAAGACGACGUCGCAAAUUAAUUUCUAUGACAUGUCAGAUUCCAAUCCUA